rnacentral:tRNA from 4 species
UGGCGCAUUGGUCAAGCGGUCAAGACACCGGUCUUUCGAACCGGAAUCGAGAGUUCGACUCUCUCAUGCGCUAU